rnacentral:lncRNA from 1 species
GCAUAUACAUUGGUGCUUCCCCUUGAUAACACCAGUUUGUGUAAUUAUGGACAAAUCCACGCCUAGUAACAUGUUCUCUGACUGUAGGUACAGAUGCAAAGACUUUAUUCUUACACUUCCUACACGGGCACCUAAUGUUACCAAUUCCAUCUGUAUACGCCGUUUGAUUUAUCGCAAACUUGAGGAAACUCUCAAGUCCCGUUUCAAAUGCAGCACGAUCAUUGUAUCUCGCGUACAUCCACGUACGAUUAUCACUCAUUCUUGCAACUUCUAAUUGAAAAUAAAAAUAAAUCAAAUAUAAUAAAUUACUUGAAUCUAAGAAAAUUUCGACAACAUAACCCCACUAUCCUAACUACCAAGUGCUCGACUCUACCAGCAACUAUAGUGACCAUAGUGGUCCUAAUUUACUAAGCCUAUACUAGGUCUACCCGCCCCCCAAUGUCGAAGCAAUAAUAAAAUAACAUAUAAAACAAUAAAAAAAACAAGGUAAUUAAAUCAAACACAAUCAUUUGUUGGGAGAAGAUCCUUAAGAAAUAAUCAAUUUCUAUCCCAAAGGGAGAAGAUCCUUAAGAAAUUGAUUAAAUCUAUCCCACAAUAUAUAAUAACAUAUCAUUUCAUCCGAAACAGUAAAUCAAUUUAAAAUUAAUCUAAUUAACAAAUUUCAUCCGAAACAGUAAAUCAAUUUAAAAUUAAUCUAAUUAACAUAUCAUUUCAUCCGAAACAGUAAAUCAAUUUAUAUUAGCAUACUUAAUUUAACAAAAUAAUAGUAAAUCAAUUUAAAAUUAAUCUAAUUAACAAAUUUCAAUUAAUCAUACUUUAAACAUCCUAUAAAUUAAUUAGAGUUAAUCAAACAUAUAAUAAAUAAAUAAAUAAAUAAAAGUCUAUUAAAAACGAGAGUGUACCGUGGGAGUCGACGG